UACGUAGGGGCAAGCGUUGUCCGGAAUCAUUGGGCGUAAAGAGCGUGUAGGCGGCCCGAUAAGUCCGCUGUGAAAGUCCAGGGCUCAACCCUGGAAUGCCGGUGGAUACUGUCGGGCUCGAAUCCGGAAGAGGUGAGUGGAAUUCCUGGUGUAGCGGUGAAAUGACGCAGAUAUCAGGAGGAACACCAAUGGCGAAGGCAGCUCACUGGGACGGUAUUGACGCUCAUGCACGAAAGCGUGGGGAGCAAACAGG
rnacentral:rRNA from 1 species